rnacentral:rRNA from 1 species
UGGGGAAUAUUGGACAAUGGGCGAAAGCCUGAUCCGGCAAUGCCGCGUGUGUGAAGAAGGUCUUCGGAUUGUAAAGCACUUUCGACGGGGACGAUGAUGACGGUACCCGUAGAAGAAGCCCCGGCUAACUUCGUGCCAGCAGCCGCGGUAAUACGAAGGGGGCUAGCGUUGCUCGGAAUGACUGGGCGUAAAGGGCGCGUAGGCGGAUGGCACAGUCAGAUGUGAAAUUCCUGGGCUUAACCUGGGGGCUGCGCUUGAUACUUGGUUGCUUGAGUGGGGAAGAGGGUCGUGGAAUUCCCAGUGUAGAGGUGAAAUUCGUAGAUAUUGUGAAGAACACCGGUGGCGAAGGCGGCGACCUGGUCCUUGACUGACGCUGAGGCGCGAAAGCGUGGGGAGCAAAC